rnacentral:rRNA from 1 species
ACAUACAACCAUACCCACUGGAAAACUCGGGAUCCCGUCCGCUCUCCCAUAGAUAAGCCAGUGAGGGCCGGAUUAGUAGUUGGGUCGGUGACGACCAGCGAAUACCUGGUAUUGUAUGUU